GAUGAACGCUAGCUACAGGCUUAACACAUGCAAGUCGAGGGGAAACGGCAUUAAGUGCUUGCACUUUUUGGACGUCGACCGGCGCACGGGUGAGUAACGCGUAUCCAACCUUCCCAUGACUAAGGGAUAACCUGCCGAAAGGCAGACUAAUACCUUAUGGUCUUCACUGACGGCAUCAGAUGUGAAGUAAAGAUUUAUCGGUUAUGGAUGGGGAUGCGUCUGAUUAGCUUGUUGGCGGGGUAACGGCCACCAAGGCAACGAUCAGUAGGGGUUCUGAGAGGAAGGUCCCCCACAUUGGAACUGAGACACGGUCCAAACUCCUACGGGAGGCAGCAGUGAGGAAUAUUGGUCAAUGGGCGAGAGCCUGAACCAGCCAAGUAGCGUGCAGGAUGACGGCCCUAUGGGUUGUAAACUGCUUUUGUAUGGGGAUAAAGUCAAUCACGUGUGAUUGUUUGCAGGUACCAGACGAAUAAGGACCGGCUAAUUCCGUG
rnacentral:rRNA from 1 species